rnacentral:rRNA from 1 species
AUUGAACGCUGGCGGCAUGCCUUACACAUGCAAGUCGAACGGCAGCACGGAGCUUGCUCUGGUGGCGAGUGGCGAACGGGUGAGUAAUAUAUCGGAACGUACCCUAGAGUGGGGGAUAACGUAGCGAAAGUUACGCUAAUACCGCAUACGAUCUAAGGAUGAAAGUGGGGGAUCGCAAGACCUCAUGCUCGUGGAGCGGCCGAUAUCUGAUUAGCUAGUUGGUAGGGUAAAAGCCUACCAAGGCAUCGAUCAGUAGCUGGUCUGAGAGGACGACCAGCCACACUGGAACUGAGACACGGUCCAGACUCCUACGGGAGGCAGCAGUGGGGAAUUUUGGACAAUGGGCGAAAGCCUGAUCCAGCAAUGCCGCGUGAGUGAAGAAGGCCUUCGGGUUGUAAAGCUCUUUUGUCAGGGAAGAAACGGUGAAAGCUAAUAUCUUUUGCUAAUGACGGUACCUGAAGAAUAAGCACCGGCUAACUACGUGCCAGCAGCCGCGGUAAUACGUAGGGUGCAAGCGUUAAUCGGAAUUACUGGGCGUAAAGCGUGCGCAGGCGGUUUUGUAAGUCUGAUGUGAAAUCCCCGGGCUCAACCUGGGAAUUGCAUUGGAGACUGCAAGGCUAGAAUCUGGCAGAGGGGGGUAGAAUUCCACGUGUAGCAGUGAAAUGCGUAGAUAUGUGGAGGAACACCGAUGGCGAAGGCAGCCCCCUGGGUCAAGAUUGACGCUCAUGCACGAAAGCGUGGGGAGCAAACAGGAUUAGAUACCCUGGUAGUCCACGCCCUAAACGAUGUCUACUAGUUGUCGGGUCUUAAUUGACUUGGUAACGCAGCUAGCGCGUGAAGUAGACCGCCUGGGGAGUACGGUCGCAAGAUUAAAACUCAAAGGAAUUGACGGGGACCCGCACAAGCGGUGGAUGAUGUGGAUUAAUUCGAUGCAACGCGAAAAACCUUACCUACCCUUGACAUGGCUGGAAUCCUUGAGAGAUCAGGGAGUGCUCGAAAGAGAACCAGUACACAGGUGCUGCAUGGCUGUCGUCAGCUCGUGUCGUGAGAUGUUGGGUUAAGUCCCGCAACGAGCGCAACCCUUGUCAUUAGUUGCUACGAAAGGGCACUCUAAUGAGACUGCCGGUGACAAACCGGAGGAAGGUGGGGAUGACGUCAAGUCCUCAUGGCCCUUAUGGGUAGGGCUUCACACGUCAUACAAUGGUACAUACAGAGCGCCGCCAACCCGCGAGGGGGAGCUAAUCGCAGAAAGUGUAUCGUAGUCCGGAUUGUAGUCUGCAACUCGACUGCAUGAAGUUGGAAUCGCUAGUAAUCGCGGAUCAGCAUGUCGCGGUGAAUACGUUCCCGGGUCU